CAGUCGCCGCGGGAAUACAGAGGGUGCGAGCGUUAAUCGGAUUUACUGGGCGUAAAGCGUGCGUAGGCGGCUUUUUAAGUCGGAUGUGAAAUCCCUGAGCUUAACUUAGGAAUUGCAUUCGAUACUGGGAAGCUAGAGUAUGGGAGAGGAUGGUAGAAUUCCAGGUGUAGCGGUGAAAUGCGUAGAGAUCUGGAGGAAUACCGAUGGCGAAGGCAGCCAUCUGGCCUAAUACUGACGCUGAGGUACGAAAGCAUGGGGAGCAAACAGGAUUAGAGACCCCUGUAGUCCCUGUCUCUUAUAC
rnacentral:rRNA from 1 species